AGUGAACGCUGGCGGUAGGCCUAACACAUGCAAGUCGAACGGCAGCACAGUAAGAGCUUGCUCUUACGGGUGGCGAGUGGCGGACGGGUGAGGAAUACAUCGGCAUCUACUUUUUCGUGGGGGAUAACGUAGGGAAACUUACGCUAAUACCGCAUACGACCUACGGGUGAAAGCAGGGGAUCUUCGGACCUUGCGCGAUUGAAUGAGCCGAUGUCGGAUUAGCUAGUUGGCGGGGUAAAGGCCCACCAAGGCGACGAUCCGUAGCUGGUCUGAGAGGAUGAUCAGCCACACUGGAACUGAGACACGGUCCAGACUCCUACGGGAGGCAGCAGUGGGGAAUAUUGGACAAUGGGCGCAAGCCUGAUCCAGCCAUACCGCGUGGGUGAAGAAGGCCUUCGGGUUGUAAAGCCCUUUUGUUGGGAAAGAAGAGCAGCAGGUUAAUACCCCGCUGUUCUGACGGUACCCAAAGAAUAAGCACCGGCUAACUUCGUG
rnacentral:rRNA from 1 species